rnacentral:rRNA from 1 species
AAGUCAGAUGUGAAAGCCUUCUGUUCAACGGAAGAAUUGCAUCUGAAACUGCGAGUCUUGAGUGUAGGAGGGGAGAAUGGAACUUCUGGUGGAGCGGUGAAAUGCGUAGAUAUCAGAAGGAACGCCGGCGGCGAAAGCGAUUCUCUGGCCUAUUACUGACACUCAGUGUGCGAAAGCUAGGGGAGCAAACGGGAUUAGAUACCCCGGUAGUCCUAGCUGUAAACGAUGGGCACUAAGUAGAGGGGAUUACCGAUGUUCUCUCUGCCGUAGCUAACGCAUUAAGUGCCCCGCCUGGGGAGUACGGCCGCAAGGCUAAAACUCAAAAGAAUUGACGGGGGCUCGCACAAGCGGUGGAGCAUGUGGCUUAAUUCGAUGCAACGCGAAAAACCUUACCGGGGCUUGACAUGGUAGAAGUAGGAACCUGAAAGGGUAACGAACGGUAUCCAGUCCGUAGCUAUUACAGGUGUUGCAUGGCUGUCGUCAGCUCGUGUCGUGAGACGUUGGGUUAAGUCCCCUAACGAGCGAAACCCCUGUUUUUAGUUGCCAGCGGGUUAUGCCAGGCACUCUAGAAAGACUGCCGUCGUCAAGACGGAGGAAGGUGGGGAUGACGUCAAGUCAUCAUGGCCCUUAUGCCCCGGGCUGCACACGUGCUACAAUGGUCGGUACAAACGGAAGCGAAG